rnacentral:tRNA from 1 species
GGCAACUUGGCCGAGCGGUCUAAGGCGCCAGACUCAAGUGUCCCAUUAAAUGGUAACUUCCCCGUAAGCGGGGCGCAUUCUGGUCUCGAAAGAGGCGUGAGUUCGAAUCUCACAGUUGUCA